rnacentral:rRNA from 1 species
AGAUUGAACGCUGGCGGCAUGCCUUACACAUGCAAGUCGAACGGCAGCACGGGAGCAAUCCUGGUGGCGAGUGGCGAACGGGUGAGUAAUAUAUCGGAACGUGCCCAGUCGUGGGGGAUAACGUAGAGAAAUUUACGCUAAUACCGCAUACGAUCCAAGGAUGAAAGCGGGGGACCGUAAGGCCUCGCGCGACUGGAGCGGCUGAUAUCAGAUUAGCUUGUUGGUGAGGUAAAAGCUCACCAAGGCGACGAUCUGUAGCUGGUUUGAGAGAACGACCAGCCACACUGGGACUGAGACACGGCCCAGACUCCUACGGGAGGCAGCAGUGGGAAUUUUGGACAAUGGGCGAAAGCCUGAUCCAGCAAUGCCGCGUGCAGGAAGAAGGCCUUCGGGUUGUAAACUGUCUUUUGUACGGAGACGAAAGGUCUAGCCCUAAGUACCGGCGACCCAGUGAACGGUACCGUAAGAAUAAGCACCGCUAACGUACGUACG